UACGGGGGGGGUAAGCGUUGUUCGGAAUUACUGGGCGUAAAGGGCUCGUAGGCGGCCAACUAAGUCGGACGUGAAAUCCCUCAGCUUAACUGGGGAACUGCGUCCGAUACUGGAUGGCUUGGAUUUGGGAGAGGGAUGCGGAAUUCCAGGUGUAGCGGUGAAAUGCGUAGAUAUCCGGAGGAACACCGGUGGCGAAGGCGGCUUCCUGGACCGACACUGACGCUGAGGCGCGAAAGCUAGGGGAGCAAACGGG
rnacentral:rRNA from 1 species